CCCUUAGAUGUUCUGGGCCGCACGCGCGCUACACUGACGGAGUCAACGAGUUGUCCUGCAUCGGAAGGUGUGGGUAAUCUUUUGAAACUUCGUCGUGCUGGGGAUAGAUCUUUGCAAUUUUCGAUCUUGAACGAGGAAUUCCUAGUAAGCGUGAUUCAUCAGAUCGCGUUGAUUACGUCCCUGCCCUUUGUACACACCGCCCGUCGCUACUACCGAUUGAAUGGUUUAGUGAGAACUCGGGACUGGCACUAAGGGGCUGGCAACAGCCUAUUAGAGCCGGGAACUUGCUCAAACUUGAUCAUUUAGAGGAAGUAAAAGUCGUAACA
rnacentral:rRNA from 1 species